GACAGAGGUGCCAAGCGUUAGGCGGAAUCACUGGGUUUAAAGGGAGCGUAGGUGGGUUGGUAAGUCAGUGGUGAAAUCCCCGAGCUUAACUUGGGAACUGCCAUUGAUACUGAAGAUCUUGAGUUCGGGAGAGGUGAGUGGAACUGCGAGUGUAGAGGUGAAAUUCGUAGAUAUUCGCAAGAACACCAGUGGCGAAGGCGGCUCACUGGCCCGAUACUGACGCUGAGGCACGAAAGCGUGGGGAGCAAACAGG
rnacentral:rRNA from 1 species